AUUUUACUUAGCCUCAAUACGGUCUUAGAGAAAAAGAGCUCUCUCUCUCUCUCUCUCUCUCCAAAUCUCUAUUUUCUGAAUCACUUACUUUUACUUCCUUCCUCAUUGCCACUACCCACCACAAAGUAAUUCUUAUAAAACACACACACACCUUCUCUUAGGGGUGGGCGUUCGGGUAUCCGUUCGGGUCGAGUAUUUUGGAUUUUUGGAUAUUUCGGUAUAGAGGUGUAGAACCCGUUCG
rnacentral:lncRNA from 1 species